CAAAAUUUUCAUUAUAUCAUCCCCUCUCCUUCAUCUUUUUCUCAACCAUUUCAAACCAUUCUUUCUUGGUCGCCUUUAUCGUCGGAAUCCCAUAGCUCCAACUCCGGUCAUCUCUAUCUCGGCAGACCCAACCACCUUUCUCGAUCUGUUGCUCGGUCGUCUCCUCGAUCUGUUGCUCCUUGGAAUGAAAAGCCACAGCUCUGUUCGAUCCCAACCACAGUUAUGUUCUUCUUGAAGGUGAAAUUUCUAUUGGGCUUCAACCUAAUUGUUUCUGUAACCCUUCUCUUUUUACCGAUUCAGCAGCUUUAGGGACCCUUCAAUCGAUCUCGGUGGUUCAUUCUCUAUUCAAGGUGAAUACGAAUACCUAGAUGUCAUCGUUGAAGGCGGAGAUAGGGUGUUGAUUGAUAUAGAUUUUAGAUCGGAGUUCUGCUCCUACCGCCGUUCGAUCGUUCUUUAGGUGAGUCAGUUGUGGUGUCGCCGACCGUUCUAGAUGCUGUGUAUUUCUGCAUUGAGACUAAGAGCAGGUGGGUUUUUCAAAUCCUUCAUCACGAAGAAGCUAUGCGAAGGAGAAGCUGUUCAUCAUGGAAGAAGAUGAAGAAGAUCYGAUCUGUUUGAAUCGUUACCUGAUGAAAUUGUUAUCUCCAUCCUAUGCAAGCUCAAUUCUACCUCUUCUUCUCCGUCUGAUUUCGUCACUGUUCUUCUUACAUGUAAGAGGUUGAAUAAAUUAGGUGUUCAUCCUUUGGUUUUGUCGAACGCUUGUUUCUGAAAACUGGUCGGAUGAGGCUCACCGGUUUCUGAAAGUGUGCGUCAACGCCGGCAACAAAGAGGCGUAUUAUACUCUCGGAAUGAUCCGAUUUUAUUGUUUACAAAAUCGAGGAAGUGGAGCGUCGUUAAUGGUGAAGGUAGUGAUUAAGUCUCACGCGCCGGCACUGUACUCCUUGGCUCUGAUUCAGUUCAAYGGCAGCGGUGGUCUGAAGAAC